rnacentral:lncRNA from 1 species
AUUAAUGGAUGAUAAUAGAAAUUUGCCUCGCUGUUUUAUGUCUGCUGCUGUUGUGUUGCAACAGAAAGCCCUGGGUGACACAACUGGUCUCUAACACUGUUACUGAUACAGGUGGUGCAUGUCUGGAAUAAUACUCUAGGGUCAUGAGGUGGAAAAUAAUGGUGUCUGAAGCACUGAACUGCAAGCUACAGUUUGGCUUUUUUAAGUGGAAUAGAUGAUGGAAGACAUUGUACUUCUAGUCUGUUGCUUUCUGAUGUUUCAGAGUAUCACUGGUUGCAAGUCUCUAGCUGGAGAGGCAGUGCAUUUGGUGAGAGUCUUGACUGUAGUAUGUCCUGUGAUCGUGUGCUGACUUCCUCCUUGGUUGCGAGCUGCAGUGAUGUGGAGUGCUAAGUGUGUGCUCACAGUACUGAAAGAUAGAGCCCAAGGACUUCAUCUUCAUUGGAAACCCACCCAACAUGCCAUGAGUGAACCAUUUAAACAUCACGUUUUCAGUGAUUCCCUGGUGGAAAGGGCAGGGGAACAGGGAGCUCAGUUCUAACAGAAUAAGCAACCUUUUAAAUGAUGAAAAACGUAGAUGAUGUGAAAAUUCAGCUUAACUGAAUGGCAGGUUUAAGGCUGGCUACUGCCUGAAACUCUGAGGGAGAUCUGGGAAACAACAUGUAAUGCUCUUUGUUUGCUGUUUGCAGCCAACACUACAAGCUUUCUUACUGAAACCUGAAAGGCAAGAGAGGGUUAGUCAUAAACUAACACACAGCCUGAAGUGUUCAUUGAGCUUCAGGCAACUAAAUUCAGCAAAUUUGAUCAUGUUAAAAGUGCCUUUGAGAUAGUUUCUUUCCUUCCAGCCAACUUUAAACAGCUUUCUGCCAGUUAAAGGGGAAAAGCUCACAACUCGAACCAAAACCCAAGUUCGUUCUCUUCUAGUUCAGCUGAAGAGGCUGAGCCCAGCACACAGCUGGUGGGGCUCAGUCCUUCAUGUGCUCUGCCGAGUAUUGGUCUGAACUCUGACCCUUGAUGUUUUGGGGGAGUUUUGCUGCCAAUGCUCUGCUGCAGGGUACAAAUGUGAACCGAGGCACUCGAUAAUGUAUUAGUGGUCAACACAUUUCUAACUCUGUAAAGAACUGCUCUUCCUUUUUGUAGCAUAGAACAGUUGUGACCAAACCGCCCUCCCUUCACCCCUGCUGGUUUUAAGCGGUAUUAACUUAGGGUGCAAGUCUGCCAAGUGUUAAACAAGAGGGUGAAUGGAAAAUAAACUUGUGUCCCAGGAAGUGAUGCUGUCAGACCAGGCUGUGGGCACUUCAGCAGGGCUGCACAGGAAGUCUGUGGUGGUUCAUACUGUAGCUUUUUGUUCUGAGCCUGGAUUCCUUUGGAUUGCAGUCAUCCAGCACUCUUACACAAGCACAGAACCUGGUCUGGCUUCAAGUUUUGUGUAUCUGAAAAAGGUGUAGUCACUGUUUCACACCACUAAGUGGAGUGAGAAUAUUGGUGUUGAAGGUACUAACACAGCAGAGCAAGCUGCUGGCUAAAAGCUGACAGAUGCCUUAAUGACUCCCUGGCAUUGGCUUGUACAACUUCUUGCAUAGUGCUUCUAAAUUAACCUGUAACAAUAUGGGAUGCUGAGGCUGGAUUUUUUUGUAGAUCAAAUAUUAAUAGGCAAGUCCUCUUUCUCCUGUAACCAGCAGCGUUGGGUACCGCAGCAAACUCAUCUCAGAAAAAUCAAAGCUUGUACAAGUGACACAUAACUCUGACCAUUCUAAUACCCUCUGUGAAAUAGAAAAGGGAGUCUUAGAACAAUGGCAUUUUUAUCUGCAGUGUUUGUCUGGAGUCAUUGUAAAAAUGUAUUUUUCCAAUAUGCAUUACUUUGUUGUGUAAUGAUUCUACUUGUAAUAAAAUGC